GUGGAUAUUGCUCAGCACUAGAGCACGUGCCUAGCAUGCACGAGGUCCUGGGUUCAAUCCCCAGUACCUCCA
rnacentral:tRNA from 1 species